rnacentral:rRNA from 1 species
UACGUAGGGUGCAAGCGUUGUCCGGAAUCAUUGGGCGUAAAGAGCGUGUAGGCGGCCAGGUAGGUCUGCUGUGAAAACUCGAGGCUCAACCUCGGGACGUCGGCGGAAACCAUCUGGCUAGAGUCCGGAAGAGGAGAGUGGAAUUCCUGGUGUAGCGGUGAAAUGCGCAGAUAUCAGGAAGAACACCCGUGGCGAAGGCGGCUCUCUGGGACGGUACUGACGCUGAGACGCGAAAGCGUGGGGAGCGAACAGG